AGAAGGAGGAGGAACAGAUGCUGGAGAUGUGGGUGAAGGAGGAGACUUCAGCCACCAGAACCUCCAUCGUAGAGAAGUGGUCCAGACUUCAGGGACUGGACCAGCACAAUGCCAUGCUCAAAUACAUGAACAUCAUCAAGGAGUGGCCCGGAUAUGGGUCCACACUGUUCGACGUAGAGUGUAAAGAGGGAGGCUUUCCUCACGACCUGUGCUGAGUGUGAGUGCAGAGAACGUGUCGGUCUACAAGAGAGGAGAGCCCAACCUCUAGAGACGUUCCCCUACGAACACAUCAUCUUCUUCGGAGCUCCCCAGGCCACUACCUAUAAGAUCACAGUGGACGACAGAGAUAUGUUCUUUGAGACACCUCUGGUUGGAGAGAUCAUCAAGAUCAUGAAAGCCUACAUCAACAUGAUAGUAAAGAAGAGAUGCAGUGUCAGAUCUGGGUCCAGCGACGGAACCAACUGGAUCAGGUGAUGUGAGACAGAACACAGCCCAGUUGGCUUCCCACCACCGCCCCUGACCAGAAGGCUAAAAGGCUAGCACUACAAGGCUAAAAGGCUAGCACUACAAGGCUAAAAGGCUAGCACUACAAGGCUAACCAGCAGGGUCCGUGAAGACAAGCUUCAAGACUAAAAGUUCACGAAGACAGGACUGUUCUCUUCAACUCAGAUGUCUGGAUAACUGACGUCACGCUGCUAUUCAGCUACUCCAGAACUUGUCCGACUCCGGUGUCCCUCAGUGUGGUCCGCCAAGCCAACAUUCAGAACAUUCUAGAAUGUGUAGCGCUAAAGGCUGUACUGCGUUCCUCAACCGUUUUAAAUAUUGCUAUUCUAUAGCUGUCGACAGAGUCGAUAUCACGUUACCUUCUGCUAUUAUUUACAUCAAUUUAUCAAUAGUAUGAACCAAUCAGGUUGUCACAUUUAUAAUUUCCUUUUGUAUUCAAGUUCUACCGUUUUCAAAUUCCUUUCCAAUGGAUUGAGAUUCAGAUUGAGUGAGAAAUGUCUCACUGUCAAGCCUUCCCGUGACUAGCUCCCCUUUCCUGUUGUGUCUAUUUUUAUAAUUGGCAAGUGUUAUUAUUAUUAUUAUAACAUAUGUUAAUGUCUGGGCACCCAACUAUACCGUUAUAUAUUUACAAUGAGAAGAAGUUAUUUGUCUAAAGUAAAGGUUGAAAGACUUUCCCCUCAGGUUUUAUGAGCAAUAGGAGUUGAAUCCCAAACCAACCACAGAACCAGGGAGUUGAACAUCUCUACAUUUUGAUGCCUUAAAUAGGUUUCGCUGCUUCCAUCCAUGUUGUUAUUCUUUGGACUGUAAGUAAUAGGUUUUCACUUUCAGGAAUGGCGUCCCCGAGCCAGGGUUAUGUCAYGGUUCAUAGCUCGAUGGUUAUAACCAGUUAUAAUGCUAGUGGCAGAGGCUGCUGUUCUAUAGCCCGGUCCCAGAUCUGUUUCUGCUUUUGCCUACUCUGAUUAUGACGCUAAAUAUGUUUGAAAUGACAAUUCCAUAAGAAGUAGAAGAGCAGAAAAGCAGACUGGUGCCUAAAGCCUUUCUACCCAGUGCCUGAGAAGCAGGUUUUUAACUCUGAUGAAAUAACACUUGUAUUUUAUAAGUUAAAUAUAACCAAUACAUAAUCCAUUACUACUAUAUUUAGGUUAUUAUUUAUUUACAAUAAAGGCAGUGGUUUAAUAUAGAACGUUUAGCUUAAUUCUGAAGAACAUCGUGAUAGAAUUUAGUCUGAGGUAUUUUUCAUUUAAAUGUUUUAUUUGCUAUUUUGAUUUGAAACCAGGUGUGUCCUUGUAAUUAAAUGUUUUCUGACUGAAA